CUCGCGGGAGGCUCGCGCGGCGGCGGCGGGGUCGCGGCGCGGCCGGGCGGCGGCGGGGGUCGGGCCGGUCCGGACUCUGCACCCCCCCGCCCCGCGCCCCCCGCGCCCGAAGGUCCCCCCGGGACGGGGAACCCCGGAGCUGCGACCUGCCCACGCCGGCGCGGGGACUGCGCGUCAUUUCAGAUUUUAAUAGUCCUAAAUCAGGUGCUGAUUUAGGUGCUCAAAGAGAUCCCGGCUCAUUUACGAAUGAUUCGUGUUGUGGAAGAAUACUGGGCCAGGAGAACUACUUCCUUCCAGGCUGGACGCUUUGGAACCCAAGACCACAGCCGGGAAUCCGUCUCUGCUGCUGCUUAACCUUAGGCUGGGCAACGAGGCUGCACUUCGGUUUCAUUUGCUUCAUUUAUGAAAUGGAGACAAACAUUCUUCGUCCUACAGAUGAAAAGAGAUAAUGGACGGAGAGAGCUUCGUCAGCGGAGAAAGGCUUUCUAAGUGGAUGCGCAGGGCUUACUCCCGGCUCUGCACGCAGGAAUUACUCCUGGUGCCCACUCCAGAUGCAAUCCCGGCGACCAAGAGCUUCCACAAGCAAGGCCCAGGUAUGAGGGUUCCAGGACUGUUCCUCCCCGGCCCCCGCCCUCUCGGCAGCCUGGCUGUCAGGCACACAGUCUGCCUCCGGGCACUAUCUUGGCGCCAACAGCCCUGGUCCAGAGACCCCCAGUUGAAUCCCAAAAUGGAUUGGCGCCCUCCAGGGAUGCCUCUGGAACCCAACCAUUUACAAUCUUAGAAUUCCAGAAGCGCACAGCUGCUUUCACGGCCUCUCAUGAUUUUCAACAUGAGCAAUGGAAAAUAAAUGAUCUAGCGUCUGCCCCUGGCAGGCAGACGUGAAUGGUGGUGGGGAAAUUUGAGUAAAAUAAAAUGCCCAAAAGUAGAGAGAGAGGGGCUGGAGUGAUAGCUCAGCGGGGAGGGCGUUUGCCUUGCACGCAGCCGACUCGGGUUCGAUUCCCAGCAUCCCUGAGCAUUGCCAGGGGUAAUUCCUGAGUGCAAAGCCAGGAGUAACCCCUCAGCAUCACUAGGUGUGACCCCCCCAAAAAAAAAAAGUAGAGAGUACUGGGGAAAUCGUCUGCCAUAGAGGCAGGGUGAGGACUGGGAAGGAUGGGCAGGUUUCAUGGUGGUGGGAUUGGUGUUGAAAUAUUGAAUGUGGUCAAUUAUUGUGAACAACUUUAUGAAAAUAAAAUCUAAAAAUUAACAAAUAUGAAAUACUGUUGUGGCAGGUAGUCUGUGGAAACUCUAAAGAUUCCCUGAGUCCUGGUAGAAUUUACUCUUUAUAGAUCUGUGAAACCUCCAGAACAUUCACACGCAAAAUCCAUUCCUUUGUGCUAGUGAGGAAGGAAACAGGCUGCCUGGGAGGGGUGAGGGGGGCUCGUGAGGGCCAGUCCCAAGGUGCGAGGCCUCACCCGGGGCCCCUUUCCCACCUUUCCCGGACUCGUCCCUUUGGGCUGCUCAGGUGUGACUGUGGCUAUCCCGAGCGAGGGCUCCCCUGACCACAGAUGGUGCCUUCGUGCCGGUGUCCUGGAGGCAGACACACUGGGCCUCUUUCUCCUGGUGUCCAGACUGGAACUCGGGGCCCCAGACGGGCAAAGCAGAUGUCCAGUCUUGGAGCCCCCACCCUGGCUGCCCCAGAGUCAGCCAUCCCCUCUGGGUCUCAUCUCGCCUAAAUCUCCGACCCGUAACACCCUCAAAGUGAGUCUCAGGGUUUCAACAAACGGGGAGGGCGGGGAAGGGGAGGGACGUGCCACAUCCAGCAGUGCUCAGGGCUUCCCCCGGCCUCUGUGCUCCGGGGUCACUCCUGGCAGUGCUGGGGCAAGGGCCUGAGAUGCCGGGGGUGGAACCAAGGCAAGCAGCUGCCCUGCUGUGCCGUCCCGGGCCGGGCUCUGAGCCAGGAGAGGACACAGGCAGGAGGCCCGUCCUGCUGCUUCUCACAGCAUUUCCCGUGCCAGGUCCCCGCCCCUUCAUUCCUCGGCUCGCAUGCUGGAAGGAGGUCACCUUCCUGCAGGCCGGGGCCAGUGAGGGUCGUCGAGCCCCCGGGACAGUCUCGGAGGAAGGCCAGCGUGUGCCCGGAGACAGAGUGGCAGGGAGAGUCCGGCACCGAAAGCCAACCGGGAUCUUCCCCAGCUCUGCCUCAAUCCCAGCUUCGCUCAUGCAGGCUGCACUGGGCUUCCCUACCCUCGUUCUGCAGAGUCCAAAGCGACACCCAAAGCUCUGGUUCCCCCAUACACACACCAGUCUCAAAAUCUGGGAGGUGAGACUCAAACUGUCCCUGCCUCCCUCCACCCCUGCCAGUAAGCAACAGCAGCGCCUGGCAGAGAGGGAGGGAGGCGGGUUAUGCCCUCCCAGAGCUGCUGUGUGCGGGCAGAGGGGGCACCGGAGGAGGACAGGCAAGUGACACAGGCGCCUCUGGAUUUGGGGAGCCAGAGAAGGCUCCUGAGCUGGGCCCUAACGGAGCGGCUGACCGGGCGAGGCGGCCUCGGGAACAUCCGCCGGGCACUGUUCUCUCGGGAUUAGGUGCCACCCAACGCUUUGGAGCGGGACCGGAGUGGUAGAUGCCAAGGAAACUGGCAGAGCAGGAACGGUUCCAGAAGCCCAUCUCACGAGCUGGGGGAGAAGGGGCCACUGAGUCAGUGAUGGCUGGGGGGAUCGCUCGGGAUGGGAGACGUGCGCUGAAAGCAGAUAAAGGACCAAACGUGAUGACCUCUCGGUGUCUGUAUUGCAAACCACAAUGCCCCAAAGUAGAGAGAGAGUAUGGGGGAG